rnacentral:ncRNA from 2 species
ACGCGCUGGCGGGACUCGGUGAAAUUCCGAACCGGCGGUGAUCUUCCCCAGCCGGGGGAGUAAGCCCGCGACCCGGACGCCGCACCUCGGCGGCCGGUGGACCUGGUGAGAAUCCGGGGCCGACGGUGGAUCGAGCGGUGCUGUCCGACCGACAGCUGAGCCGCCCGGUCCGACAGUCCGGAUGGGAGACAGCGCGC